rnacentral:tRNA from 1 species
GCCUCUGUAGCUCAGUUCGUUGGAGCGCUGCACCAUAAUCGCAGGGCCGCAGCUUCGAUUCCUACCAGAGGAC